rnacentral:rRNA from 1 species
CCUACGGGAGGCAGCAGUGGGGAAUAUUGGGCAAUGGACGCAAGUCUGACCCAGCAACGCCGCGUGAAGGAAGAAGGCUUUCGGGUUGUAAACUGCUUUUAAGGGGGAAGAGCAGAAGACGUUACCCCUUGAAUAAGCCACGGCUAACUACGUGCAAGCAGCCUCGGUAAUACGUAGGUGGCAAGCGUUGUCCGGAUUUACUGGGUGUAAAGGGCGUGCAGGCGGGGAUACAAGUCAGUGGUGAAAUCCACGGUCUCAACCCGUGAACUGCAUUUGAAACUGUUUCCCUUGAGUGUCGGAGAGGUAAUCGGAAUUCCAUGUGUAGCGGUGAAAUGCGUAGAUAUAAGGAAGAACACCAGAGGCGAAGGCGGAUUACUGGACGAAAACUGACGGUGAGGCGCGAAAGCGUGGGGAGCAAACAGGAUUAGAUACCCUAGUAGUC